CGAUUAAAGUGACAUUAGCUGCAGAAAUUAUUCGUAACACAAACAUAUUUCUUAGAUAAUCAUCAAAAUGGGAAACGCGGUCGAUACAUUCCCUAAAAUGAAUAUUAAACAAUGGGAAUACUUUGAUAUUCAUUGUGGUGAAUGCGGAAAAUGUAAAAAAGGCAUGAAAUGCACAGCUAAUCGUCGAACACUUAUCCUAGAACGAAAAAGCAGUACAAAUCUUGUCAUCUCUGGAAGAAGCUUGAUGUUUAAGAGUAAAUUAGAAGAUCGAAAUUAAGAAAACGUCCUUGAAGAGUAUUUUCGUGUGCAGAUAAUUCCAAAACAAAAAAUUAUUGUUAAAAUGAUUAAAUGUGAAAGUCAAGGUUGGAAUCAUUCAAUUUCCGUAUGAAUUCUCAAUUUAAUUUGAAAUAAAACGCAAAAUUGCAAAAAUGAGAAA